AGCUAAUGCUGAUUUGAAUGUAAUUGGUCUAGCAUCUAGUAGUAACUAUCAGCAACUACACACACACAUAGAAAGAGUGAGAGAAAGAGAAAGAAAGAGAGCAGCAGCAGUUUUGAGGUUCAUGUAAGAAGAAUAGUGGCGAGGCAGAGAAGAGCAGGAGCAGCAGAAGUGACGCAGGGAAGAAGAAGAAGUAGUAGGCAGGAGAAGAAGGUGCAGCUGUAGCGCACAAGCAGCAGCAGCAAGAGGAGAAGCAGAACGGGAGCAGCAAGAGAGAGGUAGCAGUUUCGAGGAUUGAGAAGAGCAGCAGAGAUUGAGAACAGGGUCAACUGCGAGGAAAGGGAAGGGGAAGCUGCAGAGCGAUGGAGGAGUGGAGGAAAGAAGCAAGGGGCGGUGAUGGAAAAGAGAAGGAGCGGGGAGGAGCGCUCACGCGGAGGUUCAGAUGCCCGCGUCCUCGUGUCUGAUGGGACGCGCGACGGCGAAGUGGAGGGAUGGCGCUGGUGGAGUGGUGGAUGGAUGGCGCGGCGUGGCUGGGAUGGAUGGAUGGUGCGGCGGAUGGUGCUCGUGGCUGAGUGGAGGAGCAGCAGGCGCACCGCCAUGCCGGCCUGGCCGCGGCGGCGGCCGGUGGUGGAGAAGGAGGGGUGAGGGAGAGAGAUGAGAU
rnacentral:rRNA from 1 species